GUUUAACACUUCAUGACUGACAACACAACACAACACAAUCUUCAGCAUCACACAAACCAACAAGAACAACAAUGACUUUCAGCAUCAUCUUCAUCUGGACACUCACAGUGUUUAUUACAGAAUCCAGAGGAGUUACUCUGACUCAACCUAGAGUGAAAAGUGUUCAACAGGGACAAACAACUACAAUAGAGUGUCAUAUAGAUGUAGGAAUAUAUAGCGACAACUUAUUCUGGUAUCAGCAGAGACCGGGAGAAGCUCCUAAACUCCUCAUAUAUGACAUCAAAAGCCUCCAGUCUGGAGUAUCAUCUAGAUUCAGUGGCAGUGGAACAGCAAGUACUGGAAAAGAUUUUACUCUGAGCAUCAGUGGAGUUCAGACUGAAGAUUCAGGAGAUUAUUACUGUCAGAGUUUACACUAUCCUAAUAGUAAAUAUGUGUUGACACAGUGAUAAAGAGUCGUACAAAAACCUCCGUCAGUCAGACUGAACAGUGACUGCACUGAUACACCUGACACAUACUGCAGCUGAUCAUACAACACA